GGGGUUGUGGCUCAGCGGUAGAGCGCUUGCCUAGCACGUGCGAGGCCCUGACUUCAAUCCUCAGCACCACA
rnacentral:tRNA from 1 species